UUAAGUUAGAAAGGGCGCACGGUGGAUGCCUUGACACUAGGAGUCGAUGAAGGACGGGACUAACGCCGAUAUGCUUCGGGGAGCUGUAAGUAAGCUUUGAUCCGAAGAUUUCCGAAUGGGGAAACCCACCAUACGUAAUGGUAUGGUAUCCUUAUCUGAAUACAUAGGGUAAGGAAGACAGACCCAGGGAACUGAAACAUCUAAGUACCUGGAGGAAGAGAAAGCAAAUGCGAUUUCCUGAGUAGCGGCGAGCGAAACGGAACAUAGCCCAAACCAAGAGGCUUGCCUCUUGGGGUUGUAGGACAUUCUAUACGGAGUUACAAAGGAACGAGGUAGACGAAGCGACCUGGAAAGGUCCGUCGUAGAGGGUAACAACCCCGUAGUCGAAACUUCGUUCUCUCUUGAAUGUAUCCUGAGUACGGCGGAACACGUGAAAUUCCGUCGGAAUCUGGGAGGACCAUCUCCCAAGGCUAAAUACUCCCUAGUGAUCGAUAGUGAACCAGUACCGUGAGGGAAAGGUGAAAAGCACCCCGGAAGGGGAGUGAAAGAGAUCCUGAAACCGUGUGCCUACAAAUAGUCAGAGCCCGUUAAUGGGUGAUGGCGUGCCUUUUGUAGAAUGAACCGGCGAGUUACGAUCCCGUGCGAGGUUAAGCUGAAGAGGCGGAGCCGCAGCGAAAGCGAGUCUGAAUAGGGCGUUUAGUACGUGGUCGUAGACCCGAAACCAGGUGAUCUACCCAUGUCCAGGGUGAAGUUCAGGUAACACUGAAUGGAGGCCCGAACCCACGCACGUUGAAAAGUGCGGGGAUGAGGUGUGGGUAGCGGAGAAAUUCCAAUCGAACCUGGAGAUAGCUGGUUCUCCCCGAAAUAGCUUUAGGGCUAGCCUUAAGUGUAAGAGUCUUGGAGGUAGAGCACUGAUUGGACUAGGGGUCCUCAUCGGAUUACCGAAUUCAGUCAAACUCCGAAUGCCAAUGACUUAUCCUUAGGAGUCAGACUGCGAGUGAUAAGAUCCGUAGUCAAAAGGGAAACAGCCCAGACCGCCAGCUAAGGUCCCAAAGUGUGUAUUAAGUGGAAAAGGAUGUGGAGUUGCUUAGACAACUAGGAUGUUGGCUUAGAAGCAGCCACCAUUUAAAGAGUGCGUAAUAGCUCACUAGUCGAGUGACUCUGCGCCGAAAAUGUACCGGGGCUAAAUACACCACCGAAGCUGCGGAUUGAUACCAAUGGUAUCAGUGGUAGGGGAGCGUUCUAAGGACAGUGAAGUCAGACCGGAAGGACUGGUGGAGUGCUUAGAAGUGAGAAUGCCGGUAUGAGUAGCGAAAGACGGGUGAGAAUCCCGUCCACCGAAUGCCUAAGGUUUCCUGAGGAAGGCUCGUCCGCUCAGGGUUAGUCAGGACCUAAGCCGAGGCCGACAGGCGUAGGCGAUGGACAACAGGUUGAUAUUCCUGUACCACCUCUUUAUCGUUUGAGCAAUGGAGGGACGCAGAAGGAUAGAAGAAGCGUGCGAUUGGUUGUGCACGUCCAAGCAGUUAGGCUGAUAAGUAGGCAAAUCCGCUUAUCGUAAAGGCUGAGCUGUGAUGGGGAAGCUCCUUAUGGAGCGAAGUCUUUGAUUCCCCGCUGCCAAGAAAAGCUUCUAGCGAGAUAAAAGGUGCCUGUACCGCAAACCGACACAGGUAGGCGAGGAGAGAAUCCUAAGGUGUGCGAGAGAACUCUGGUUAAGGAACUCGGCAAAAUGACCCCGUAACUUCGGGAGAAGGGGUGCUUUCUUAACGGAAAGCCGCAGUGAAUAGGCCCAAGCGACUGUUUAGCAAAAACACAGCUCUCUGCGAAGCCGUAAGGCGAAGUAUAGGGGGUGACACCUGCCCGGUGCUGGAAGGUUAAGGAGAGGGGUUAGCGUAAGCGAAGCUCUGAACUGAAGCCCCAGUAAACGGCGGCCGUAACUAUAACGGUCCUAAGGUAGCGAAAUUCCUUGUCGGGUAAGUUCCGACCCGCACGAAAGGUGUAACGAUUUGGGCACUGUCUCAACCAGAGACUCGGUGAAAUUAUAGUACCUGUGAAGAUGCAGGUUACCCGCGACAGGACGGAAAGACCCCGUGGAGCUUUACUGUAGCCUGAUAUUGAAUUUUGGUACAGUUUGUACAGGAUAGGCGGGAGCCAUUGAAACCGGAGCGCUAGCUUCGGUGGAGGCGCUGGUGGGAUACCGCCCUGACUGUAUUGAAAUUCUAACCUACGGGUCUUAUCGACCCGGGAGACAGUGUCAGGUGGGCAGUUUGACUGGGGCGGUCGCCUCCUAAAGUGUAACGGAGGCGCCCAAAGGUUCCCUCAGAAUGGUUGGAAAUCAUUCGUAGAGUGCAAAGGCAUAAGGGAGCUUGACUGCGAGACCUACAAGUCGAGCAGGGACGAAAGUCGGGCUUAGUGAUCCGGUGGUUCCGCAUGGAAGGGCCAUCGCUCAACGGAUAAAAGCUACCCCGGGGAUAACAGGCUUAUCUCCCCCAAGAGUCCACAUCGACGGGGAGGUUUGGCACCUCGAUGUCGGCUCAUCGCAUCCUGGGGCUGUAGUCGGUCCCAAGGGUUGGGCUGUUCGCCCAUUAAAGCGGUACGCGAGCUGGGUUCAGAACGUCGUGAGACAGUUCGGUCCCUAUCCGUCGUGGGCGUAGGAAAUUUGAGAGGAGCUGUCCUUAGUACGAGAGGACCGGGAUGGACGCACCGCUGGUGUACCAGUUGUUCUGCCAAGGGCAUAGCUGGGUAGCUAUGUGCGGAAGGGAUAAGUGCUGAAAGCAUCUAAGCAUGAAGCCCCCCUCAAGAUGAGAUUUCCCAUAGCGUAAGCUAGUAAGAUCCCUGAAAGAUGAUCAGGUUGAUAGGUUCGAGGUGGAAGCAUGGUGACAUGUGGAGCUGACGAAUACUAAUAGAUCGAGGACUUAACC
rnacentral:rRNA from 1 species